CGCACCUUAAAGGCCCUCGAAGAGAGGGAAGGGGGAUUUGCUGGAAAAGCCGAGCGCUGCCGAGCAGAGCUGGGGGGGAAAGGCUGAGGCUCCGGUUCCCCCCCACUCACUCCGGUGUUUUUGGAAAAGUCCGCUCCUGGAGGUAGCGGGCUGGGAGGAGGGAAGCGAGAGGUGGAGAAUCGCUUCUAAUCGGCUCUUGACUGUUUUCAGAGAUGUGAUCCCCUUAACGAAGCGGUGCAGGCAUCGUUUCGACGAUCCUGGCUGGGUCCUCCUUUGCUGGGGGUGGGUGGAUCUUCGCCAGACGUGGGGCUUGGUGGUGGUGGCAGGCGGGGCCGGGUGCCUGACAAGCAGGAUGGAUGAGAUUGAUUCUGUGCAGUAGACAGCUGAGCGCAGCAAAUAAAGGGAGCUGAUGCAGAGACGGGCAACCUGUGGCCCUCCAGAUGUUGUGGGACCACAACUCCAGUCGCCGCUGGAGUUGGGAGUCCAACACAUCUGGCUGGCUACUUGUUCCCGAUCAGAAUCAUAGAGUUGGAAGGGACCACGAGGAUCCUGCCUAUCCUAAUGUAUUAAGAUUCUGUCUGUGCAAAAGGAAGUUCUACUGCAUUCAGUGGGGCUUGCUCCAGGUACAGAAAGAAUAACAAUGAAGAAAACAAUGUCAAAGCCAAGGAAUUCAUUCCCAAACAUUACACAACAGCAAAUCUGCCAUGAAAAUAAAAAUAAAACAAACUCAAAGGGAAAAUUUUCUUCCCCCCCCCCCAACUCAAGUACACAUUACAGUUAUUUGUACUUCCUGAACAGCAAAAUCACUCCAGGGAGUGACUAAAAAUGAUUGCCCAACAGAAGUGGCUUUUCUAAUAAAAAGGGAACAGAAAAAUGUCACGGGACACAGCAAAGAAGAAGAUGACCUUGGCUUAUGGCAUAAGGGGGUGAUUUACAAAGCCAUCAUUUAGGACUGAUUCCCAUUUCCCAGUGGUUGGCUGGGAUCUCCCAGAAGACGCACACACUUUCAACUGCAGGUGCUAUUGCUAAGUCUGCACAACAAAUCUAUACCCAGUGGUGUAUGUAGGUGUCUGUAUUGCAAACAAACAGGACCCCACACUUGUCAACCAAUCCUAAAUCUUCUUCUUGUCAUUAUUAAAAGUUUAUUGAACUUUUA